GUCUGAAGACAGCUCGGGUUUGUGGUCAACACAGCAGUGUGUGUGUGUGUGUGUGUGUGUGUGUGUGUGUGUGUGUUUGUUUGUUUGUUCCCUCUGCAAACUAGCCCUGACUAGGGUGAAGACAACUACACAAGUCUCGUUUCUAUCGGUGUCUGUGUGUCUGCCCUGUGCAGUGGAUUUACAGCUUUAAGCCCUGAACUAGCAACAUUGUCGGUGGUUGUCCCUUCACUGGAAAACCCCAACUUUACCAUAAUUCACUCUGUUUCUUCACGCAGAGAGAGACAGUUAAUUUGUUCCUGCAACCCAAAGAGACAUUAGCAGUUUCACCAGAUGUCCUUGCAGUGACUGAGAAACUAAAGCAGGCACAACGGUGAGCUCAUAAUAAACUCAUCAUCCUUCAAGACAUCCUUCAAGACUGUUACACCAUAGUGUGAAAUGUCUGCACUUCUCCGUCAUCAGCUGCUAUAGCAAAAUAUUUGGACAGUCAAGAAACAGCUCAUAAAAACUCCUGCUUGCUGACACAAACGCUUCCAGGAAGUAGGAUGUGUACAGUAUAUCCGGUCUUAAGGUACGAGCAUGAGGAAAGUAAAGAGGAUAAGUUAAAAGAGUUGAGGAGAAGGAGGAGACGAGAAGAAGAGGAGGUGUGUCAAGAAAAGUGGCUUACUGUGAGUGUUUCUCUGGCAGUGUCUUAGCUGGUUGUUGUGAGGAGUGAGAACGAAGCAAUCAGCAAGUAUACUGCCGCAGAAACUCGUCACCAUGCAAAGCCCGUCCAGUCGCAUUUGCAACACGUUCACCUAGAGAAAGAAGGAUCUCCAUCUUAUCCCAUCAGCCUCCAUUUCAGGACUGUUCAACACAGUGAUAUAUUUCUUAACAUUUGCACUUCAAUUUCUCAUUUCUUGUGUAUUUGUAGUGUUUCGUUCUGUAACAUAUUAUUAUUUUGUAUUGUGUUCUGUCAUUUCUAUGAGUCUCUCUUGUAAUAAAAUCAGCUGAAACAUGC